UCUCACAGCAAAACCCAUAUUUCAGUUCCAUUCUGAUGAAGGAGUGAGUCCCUGGAUUCUAUUCCGUAGUCUCCUCCCCCGCUGCCACGGACCUGAGCCCUAGGACCAUGCCCCAGGACUACCUGACAUGAUGACUCCUUGCUGUCCCCAGUCCACCUGGCCGUGCUGCUGCUCCAGUUUCAACUGAACCGCGGCCCUAGGACCAUGCCCCAGGACUACUUGACAUGAUGACUCCUUGCUGUCCCCAGUCCACCUGGCCGUGCUGCUGCUCCAGUUUCAACUGUUCUGCCUUAUUAUUAUUCGACCAUGCUGGUCAUUUAUGAACAUUUGAACAUCUUGGCCAUGUUCUGUUAUAAUCUCUACCCGGCACAGCCAGAAGAGGACUGGCCACCCCACAUAGCCUGGUUCCUCUCUAGGUUUCUUCCUAGGUUUUGGCUUUUCUAGGGAGUUUUUCCUAGCCACCGUGCUUCUACACCUGCAUUGCUUGCUGUUUGGGGUUUUAGGCUGGGUUUCUGUACAGCACUUUGAGAUAUCAGCUGAUGUACGAAGGGCUAUAUAAAUAAAUUUGAUUUGAUUUGAUUUGAUUUAACAUUGUUAUAAUGAUUAGUGGUGACUUGGUGACUUCACAUUCUGUUAUAAUGAUUAGUGGUGACUUGGUGACUUCACAUUCUGUUAUAAUGAUUAGUGGUGCCUUAGUGACUUCACAUUCUGUUAUAAUGAUCAGUGGUGCCUUGGUGACUUCACAUUCUGUUAUAAUGAUUAGUGGUGCCUUGGUGACAUCACAUUCUGUUAUAAUGAUCAGUGGUGCCUUAGUGACUUCACAUUCUGUUAUAAUGAUCAGUGGUGCCUUGGUGACUUCACAUUCUGUUAUAAUGAUCAGUGGUGCCUUAGUGACUUCACAUUCUGUUAUAAUGAUUAGUGGUGCCUUGGUGACUUCACAUUCUGUUAUAAUGAUCAGUGGUGCCUUAGUGACUUCACAUUCUGUUAUAAUGAUCAGUAGUGACAUCACAUUCUGUUAUAAUGAUUAGUGGUGCCUUGGUGACUUCACAUUCUGUUAUAAUGAUUAGUGGUGCCUUGGUGACUUCACAUUCUGUUAUAAUGAUCAGUGGUGCCUUGGUGACUUCACAUUCUGUUAUAAUGAUCAGUGGUGACAUCACAUUCUGUUAUAAUGAUUAGUGGUGCCUUAGUGACAUCACAUUCUGUUAUAAUGAUUAGUGGUGCCUUGGUGACUUCACAUUCUGUUAUAAUGAUUAGUGGUGCCUUGGUGACUUCACAUUCUGUUAUAAUGAUCAGUGGUGCCUUGGUGACUUCACAUUCUGUUAUAAUGAUCAGUGGUGACAUCACAUUCUGUUAUAAUGAUCAGUGGUGACAUCACAUUAUGUUAUAAUGAUCAGUGGUGCCUUGGUGACAUCACAUUCUGUUAUAAUGAUCAGUGGUGACAUCACAUUAUGUUAUAAUGAUCAGUGGUGCCUUAGUGACAUCACAUUCUGUUAUAAUGAUCAGUGGUGCCUUAGUGACUUCACAUUCUGUUAUAAUGAUCAGUGGUGCCUUAGUGACUUCACAGUCUGUUAUAAUGAUCAGUGGUGACUUAGUGACAUCACAUUCUGUUAUAAUGAUCAGUGGUCCCUUAGUGACUUCACAUUCUGUUAUAGUGAUUAGUGACAUCACAUUCUGUUAUAGUGAUCAGUGGUGCCUUAGUGACUUCACAUUCUGUUAUAGUGAUCAGUGGUGCCUUAGUGACUUCACAUUCUGUUAUAAUGAUCAGUGGUGACAUCACAUUCUGUUAUAAUGAUCAGUGGUGCCUUAGUGACUUCACAUUCUGUUAUAAUGAUCAGUGGUGCCUUGGUGACUUCACAUUCUGUUAUAAUGAUCAGUGACAUCAAAUUCUGUUAUAAUGAUCAGUGGUGUCUUAGUGACAUCACAUUUUGUUAUAAUAAUUAGUGACUUCACAUUCUGUUAUAAUGAUCAGUGGUGUCUUAGUGACAUCACAUUCUGUUAUAAUGAUCAGUGGUGCCUUAGUGACUUCACAUUCUGUUAUAGUGAUCAGUGGUACCUUGGUGACUUCACAUUCUGUUAUAAUGAUGAGUGACUUCACAUUCUGUUAUAAUGAUCAGUGGUGACAUCACAUUCUGUUAUAAUGAUCAGUGGUGACAUCACAUUCUGUUAUAAUGAUCAGUGGUGCCUUAGUCACAUCACAUUCUGUUAUAAUGAUCAGUGGUGCCUUGGUGACUUCACAUUCUGUUAUAGUGAUCAGUGGUGCCUUAGUGACUUCACAUUCUGUUAUAAUGAUCAGUGGUGCCUUAGUCACAUCACAUUCUGUUAUAAUGAUCAGUGGUGCCUUAGUCACAUCACAUUCUGUUAUAGUGAUCAGUGGUGCCUUAGUGACUUCACAUUCUGUUAUAGUGAUCAGUGGUGCCUUAGUGACUUCACAUUCUGUUAUAAUGAUCAGUGGUGCCUUAGUGACUUCACAUUCUGUUAUAAUGAUUAGUGGUGACAUCACAUUAUGUUAUAAUGAUCAGUGGUGCCUUAGUGACAUCACAUUCUGUUAUAAUGAUCAGUGGUACCUUGGUGACAUCACAUUCUGUUAUAAUGAUCAGUGGUGCCUUGGUGACAUCACAUUUUCUUAUAAUGAUUAGUGGUGACAUCACAUUAUGUUAUAAUGAUCAGUGGUGCCUUGGUGACAUCACAUUCUGUUAUAAUGAUCAGUGGUGCCUUGGUGACUUCACAUUCUGUUAUAAUGAUCAGUGGUGCCUUGGUGACAUCACAUUUUCUUAUAAUGAUCAGUGGUGACAUCACAUUCUUUUAUAAUGAUCAGUGGUGCCUUAGUGACUUCACAUUCUGUUAUAAUGAUCAGUGGUGCCUUUGCUGACAUCACAUUCUGUUAUAAUGAUCAGUGGUGCCUUGGUGACAUCACAUUCUCUUAUAAUGAUCAGUGGUGACAUCACAUUCUGUUAUAGUGAUCAGUGGUGCCUUAGUGACUUCACAUUCUGUUAUAAUGAUCAGUGGUGACAUCACAUUCUGUUAUAAUGAUCAGUGGUGCCUUAGUGACUUCACAUUCUGUUAUAAUGAUCAGUGGUGACAUCACAUUCUGUUAUAGUGAUCAGUGGUGCCUUAGUGACAUCACAUUCUGUUAUAAUGAUCAGUGGUGCCUUAGUGACUUCACAUUCUGUUAUAAUGAUCAGUGGUGACUUAGUGACAUCACAUUCUGUUAUAAUGAUCAGUGGUGCCUUAGUGACUUCACAUUCUGUUAUAGUGAUCAGUGGUGCCUUAGUGACUUCACAUUCUGUUAUAAUGAUUAGUGGUGCCUUGGUGACAUCACAUUCUGUUAUAAUGAUUAGUGACAUCACAUUCUGUUAUAAUGAUCAGUGGUGCCUUAGUCACAUCACAUUCUGUUAUAAUGAUCAGUGGUGCCUUAGUGACUUCACAUUCUGUUAUAAUGAUCAGUGGUGCCUUAGUGACUUCACAUUCUGUUAUAAUGAUCAGUGGUGACUUAGUGACAUCACAUUCUGUUAUAAUGAUCAGUGGUGCCUUAGUGACUUCACAUUCUGUUAUAGUGAUCAGUGGUGCCUUAGUGACUUCACAUUCUGUUAUAAUGAUUAGUGGUGCCUUGGUGACAUCACAUUCUGUUAUAAUGAUUAGUGACAUCACAUUCUGUUAUAAUGAUCAGUGGUGCCUUAGUCACAUCACAUUCUGUUAUAAUGAUCAGUGGUGCCUUAGUGACUUCACAUUCUGUUAUAAUGAUCAGUGGUGCCUUAGUGACUUCACAUUCUGUUAUAAUGAUUAGUGGUAUAACAUUCUGUUAUAAUGGUCAAUAGUGGAAAACAGAAAUGUGGCCAAUUUUUGUCUUGUGGAGAAACCAGGAAGUGAAUGAUUUGACCAGGAAGUGAAUGAUUUGACCAGGAAGUGAAUGUGUGAAUGAUUUGAUCCAUGUUGGAUCUGAGCGUGAAUGUGCUUUUCAAAAUGGUCAAUAUCUGUGUCGUCAUUGAUGAGGGGCAAUUUGUUUCAGCUAACGGCACUUUUAAUAAAUGACAAUUAACUGUUUUCCUUUUAGAUGGUUGUGUCAGAAUUGAGACAUUUUAUGAAUCUGUAUAAUUUGUGGUUUUAUCAGAAUGGAGAGUUGUCUUUCUAAUUCAACACGCUGAUAUUGAAGGAGCUGUAAUCAACUGUGGAAGGCAGACGACAGUUGGACCAAAACCACUAAAAGGGUGUAACUGCUCCUUUGUUCCCAUGUGUCUGUCUCCCUGAAUAUACUGUCCCGUGUCUCCCUGAAUAUACUGUCCCGUGUCUCCCUGAAUAUACUGUCCCGUGUCUCCCUGAAUAUACUGUCCCGUGUCUCCCUGAAUAUACUGUCCCGUGUCUCCCUGAAUAUACUGUCCCGUGUCUCCCUGAAUAUACUGUCCCGUGUCUCCCUGAAUAUACUGUCCCGUGUCUCCCUGAAUAUACUGUCCCGUGUCUCCCUGAAUAUACUGUCCCGUGUCUCCCUGAAUAUACUGUCCCGUGUCUCCCUGAAUAUACUGUCCCGUGUCUCCCUGAAUAUACUGUCCCGUGUCUCCCUGAAUAUACUGUCCCGUGUCUCCCUGAAUAUACUGUCCCGUGUCUCCCUGAAUAUACUGUCCCGUGUCUCCCUGAAUAUACUGUCCCGUGUCUCCCUGAAUAUACUGUCCCGUGUCUCCCUGAAUAUACUGUCUCCCUGAAUAUACUGUCCCGUGUCUCCCUGAAUAUACUGUCUCCCUGAAUAUACUGUCCCGUGUCUCCCUGAAUAUACUGUCCCGUGUCUCCCUGAAUAUACUGUCCCGUGUCUCCCUGAAUAUACUGUCCCGUGUCUCCCUGAAUAUACUGUCCCGUGUCUCCCUGAAUAUAGUGUCUCCCUGAAUAUACUGUCCCGUGUCUCCCUGAAUAUACUGUCCCGUGUCUCCCUGAAUAUACUGUCUCCCGUCUCCCUGAAUAUACUGUCUCCCUGAAUAUACUGUCCCGUGUCUCCCUGAAUAUACUGUCUCCCUGAAUAUACUGUCCCGUGUCUCCCUGAAUAUACUGUCCCGUGUCUCCCUGAAUAUACUGUCCCGUGUCUCCCUGAAUAUACUGUCCCGUGUCUCCCUGAAUAUACUGUCCCGUGUCUCCCUGAAUAUACUGUCCCGUGUCUCCCUGAAUAUACUGUCCCGUGUCUCCCUGAAUAUACUGUCCCGUGUCUCCCUGAAUAUACUGUCCUGUCUCCCUGAAUAUACUGUCCCGUGUCUCCCUGAAUAUACUGUCCCGUGUCUCCCUGAAUAUACUGUCCAGUGUCUCCCUGAAUAUACUGUCCAGUGUCUCCCUGAAUAUACUGUCCCGUGUCUCCCUGAAUAUACUGUCCCGUGUCUCCCUGAAUAUACUGUCCCGUGUCUCCCUGAAUAUACUGUCCCGUGUCUCCCUGAAUAUACUGUCCCGUGUCUCCCUGAAUAUACUGUCCCGUGUCUCCCUGAAUAUACUGUCCUGUCUCCCUGAAUAUACUGUCCCGUGUCUCCCUGAAUAUACUGUCCUGUCUCCCUGAAUAUACUGUCUCCCUGAAUAUACUGUCCCGUGUCUCCCUGAAUAUACUGUCCCGUGUCUCCCUGAAUAUACUGUCCUGUCUCCCUGAAUAUACUGUCCCGUGUCUCCCUGAAUAUACUGUCUCCCUGAAUAUACUGUCCCGUGUCUCCCUGAAUAUACUGUCCCGUGUCUCCCUGAAUAUACUGUCCCGUGUCUCCCUGAAUAUACUGUCCAGUGUCUCCCUGAAUAUACUGUCCCGUGUCUCCCUGAAUAUACUGUCCCGUGUCUCCCUGAAUAUACUGUCCCGUGUCUCCCUGAAUAUACUGUCCCGUGUCUCCCUGAAUAUACUGUCCCGUGUCUCCCUGAAUAUACUGUCCCGUGUCUCCCUGAAUAUACUGUCUCCCUGAAUAUACUGUCCCGUGUCUCCCUGAAUAUACUGUCCCGUGUCUCCCUGAAUAUACUGUCUCCCUGAAUAUACUGUCCCGUGUCUCCCUGAAUAUACUGUCCCGUGUCUCCCUGAAUAUACUGUCCCGUGUCUCCCUGAAUAUACUGUCCCGUGUCUCCCUGAAUAUACUGUCCCGUGUCUCCCUGAAUAUACUGUCCCGUGUCUCCCUGAAUAUACUGUCCCGUGUCUCCCUGAAUAUACUGUCCCGUGUCUCCCUGAAUAUACUGUCCCGUGUCUCCCUGAAUAUACUGUCCCGUGUCUCCCUGAAUAUACUGUCCCGUGUCUCUGCUGUUUAUUCCUGAUAUCUCUUUUUUUUCUUCUUCAAUAAAUUCAAUAAUGAUGGAAAAUGUA